UACAGAGGGGGCAAGCGUUGUCCGGAUUUACUGGGCGUACAGCGCGCGCAGGCGGUUGCGUAUGUGAGCGGUGACAUCCGCGGGCUCAACCCGCGGCGGCCCGCUUACACAGCGCGACUGGAGGCAGGGAGAGGGAUGUGGAAUACCCGGUGGAGCGGUGAAAUGCGUAGAGAUCGGGUGGAACACCAGCGGCGAAGGCGGCAUCCUGGCCCUGUACUGACGCUGAGGCGCGAUAGCGUGAGGAGCAAACGGG
rnacentral:rRNA from 1 species